rnacentral:rRNA from 1 species
UACGUAGGGGGCUAGCGUUGUCCGGAAUCAUUGGGCGUAAAGAGCGUGUAGGCGGUCCGGUAAGUCCGCUGUGAAAGUCGGGGGCUCAACCCUCGAAUGCCGGUGGAUACUGUCGGGCUAGAGUCCGGAAGAGGCGAGUGGAAUUCCUGGUGUAGCGGUGAAAUGCGCAGAUAUCAGGAAGAACACCUAUGGCGAAGGCAGCUCUCUGGGACGGUACUGACGCUGAGACGCGAAAGCGUGGGGAGCGAACAGG